UGAUGAUGUUACAUUAUCUUGGUCUAUAUUACAAAUUUCAUUUUUUUUUCUUUCUUAUUAUUGGUCUCAACACAAUGGAGAAGCAGGGGAAAAAACUCUUGUAGUUUGGCAUGUUUGCAAAAUGCCACUUCAAGUAGGAGAAAUUCCACGUUCGUUGGAAGUUGAUAAUUUCAAUAGAGUUUGGAUGUUGCUUCUGAUUUCAUUAAUAGGCAAAAUACAGUUAGCAACAUUCUCUUCCUUUUAGCU